rnacentral:rRNA from 1 species
CCAGACUCCUACGGGAGGCAGCAGUGAGGAAUAUUGGUCAAUGGGCGCGAGCCUGAACCAGCCAAGUCGCGUGAGGGAGGACGGCCCUACGGGUUGUAAACCUCUUUUGCCGGGGAGCAACGGGCGCCACGUGUGGCGUCACUGAGAGUACCCGGAGAAAAAGCAUCGGCUAACUCCGUGCCAGCAGCCGCGGUAAUACGGAGGAUGCGAGCGUUAUCCGGAUUUAUUGGGUUUAAAGGGUGCGUAGGCGGAUCGUUAGGUCGGGGGUAAAGUGGGGGGCCUCACCCCCUUCCCGCCAUUGAAACUGGCGUUCUUGAGUGGAAGAGAAGUAUGCGGAAUGCGUGGUGUAGCGGUGAAAUGCAUAGAUAUCGCGCAGAACUCCGAUUGCGAAGGCAGCAUGCCGGCUCCACACUGACGCUGAGGCACGAAAGCGUGGGUAUCGAACAGGAUUAGAUACCCGAGUAA